CGAGCCUGUCUGGGAAAGCGAGAACUGCUAAUUCCUCGUAACCAUGGUUCAAUUCCAUGGCCUGCUCGA
rnacentral:tRNA from 1 species